GAUCCUGGCUCAGGACGAACGCUGGCGGCACGCUUAACACAUGCAAGUCGAACGGUGAAGAGAAGCUUGCUUCUCGGAUCAGUGGCAGACGGGUGAGUAACACGUGAGCAACCUGCCUUUAAGAGGGGGAUAACGUUUGGAAACGAACGCUAAUACCGCAUAACGUAGAAGAUUCGCAUGUUUCUUCUAUCAAAGAUUUAUCGCUUAAAGAUGGGCUCGCGUCUGAUUAGCUGGUUGGUG
rnacentral:rRNA from 1 species